CCUACGGGACGCAGCAGUGAGGAAUAUUGGUCAAUGGGCGGGAGCCUGAACCAGCCAAGUCGCGUGAAGGAAGAAGGUACUUAGUAUUGUAAACUUCUUUUGUCGGGGAACAAAGGCGGAGACGCGUCUCCGGAUGAGUGUACCCGAAGAAAAAGCAUCGGCUAACUCCGUGCCAGCAGCCGCGGUAAUACGGAGGAUGCGAGCGUUAUCCGGAUUUAUUGGGUUUAAAGGGUGCGUAGGCGGAAUGCCAAGUCAGCGGUAAAAUCGCGGGGCUCAACCUCGCUCCGCCGUUGAAACUGGCGUUC
rnacentral:rRNA from 1 species